UACGUAGGGGGCGAGCGUUGUCCGAAGUUACUGGGCGUAAAGCGCGCGUAGGCGGGUUGGCAAGUCUGCUGUGAAAGCCCGGGGCUUAACUCCGGAGGGUCGGUGGAUACUGCCAGUCUUGAAGGUGCUAGGGAGAGAUGGAAUUCCCGGUGUAGCGGUGAAAUGCGCAGAUAGUCGGAGGAACACCAAUGGCGAAGGCAGCUCGCUGGGACGGUACUGACGCUGAGACGCGAAAGCGUGGGGAGCGAACAGG
rnacentral:rRNA from 1 species